GUAGCAUGCGUGAGUGAGUUAUUGAAGGUACUAGGUUUGUUCGAACGACAUCGUUUUGGGCAAGGGGAAACAGUGGAAAAUGAAGGCGUUGGGAUGGUGGCUGAUAGCGGUAGGCACGCUUCGAUUGGCUUCCGUAUGGUUCGGUUUCUUCGACAUUGGGGCUCUUCGUCUCACCGUUUUCUCCAAACCUACAACCUUAAUAUGGUGGUUGGUUGAUGAGAGUCUGGCAUGUUAAUUACAUUUCUGUUGGUUAUGAACUGGUAUAUCCAAGGAUGGUUUACUUCAAUUUUUUUGGGGAAUUAUACUUGAAAGGAUGUUAAUAUAUCAAGUUCAAGCAGACAUGAAAGCAACAUCUGAUGGUUAACUGAGUAAGGGAACAGGGAAAGCUAGACUAAGCAUGGGCAUUGAGUCUUGAUGGACAUGAUGCAGCAAUAGGUGUUUUCCAAAGGAGCUGAGUGCCACCAUACAAGGAAUGUCCAGCUGGGACUUACAAAAAUGUUACUGGAUCUGAUAAAUCACUUUGUCAUCAUUGUCCUGUUAAUGAGCUUCCUCAUCGUGCUGUUUAUAUUUCAGUCCGCGGUGGUAUUACUGAAACCCCUUGCCCCUACUAAUGUGUUUCGGGUAGAUAUCACAUGCCUGACUGUUAUACAGCUCUUGAAGAAUUAAUUUACACAUUUGGUGGGCCUUGGUUAUUUGGCCUUUUUCUUACGGGUCUCUUGAUCCUGUUGGCACUGGUGCUUAGUGUUGCAAGAAUGAAAUUUGUUGGGGUUGAUGAAUUACCAGACCCAGCACCCGCCCAACAUGGUUCUCAAAUAGAUCACUCCUUCCCUUUCCUAGAGUCACUAAAUGAGGUGUUGGAAACAAACAGAGUUGAGAAGUCCCAGAGUCAUGUUCACAGAAUGUACUUUAUGGGACCUAAUACUUUCAGUGAGCCCUGGCAUCUACCACAUACACCUUCAGAGCAAAUACAGAUGUUGUGUAAGCAAAUCAUUUUUCUGUUUGAUCAUUAUAGAUCCCAUGGUUGAAAUUUGAGGAUGCCAGGUCUUUUAUUUUGUUAAUUAUGUUAUUUGGUUAUGAUUUUGAGAUGGAGAUCUUCAAACACUUGACAUGGAAGUUAUGAGACCGAGUUCAAUACAAUUGUGGAUGAAAUUAAUGCUACAGCUGCUUACCAAUGGUGGGAGGUAGCAAUAUGUAGCGUUCUUUCUGUUCUUGCUUAUCCGCUUGCAUGGUCCUGGCAACAGUGGUGCAGGAGAUUGAAGUUGCAACGCUUAUGCGAGUUUGUUCAAUCAGAGUAUGAUCAUGCUUGCCUUCUUUCUUGCCGAUCACGAGCUCUCUAUGAAGGGAUAAAGAGCAACUGGCUAUUGUGCCAACUUAUAUACAAGAGAUCAGCACCAAGCAGCAGAAGUACGCCUGCCAACUUUUGCACAAUUACUAUAUGACAACGUCGGAUUCUUAGAACGCUUCCUUAUCUUCUCGUUUAUCACUUCAGAGUUUCCAGUUUUCCAUUUUUCUCCAAUAAUACAAUACAUUCAUGAAGAUAUCUGCAAAGAUUUGAGGAUCUGAAUUAGGUUGAAGAUCCGGUUAGUAGAAAUGGUAAUAUUCCAUAACCGAAUAAUAUAAGAGUU